CCUGCAAAGACAGACUUGUCCAGACGAAGCAAAAGACACGUGUGUGAAGGAAAAUACGAUCCAUUUAAUUGCGAUACCUUCUGCUUAUCAAUAAUGGCUAGAAGUUCCAAAGGCAAAGCUGCUAAGAGAGUCAAGAAGGGCAGAAUUCCACGUUAUGCACCAAAACUCGAAAAACAGUUAUUGUCAAUUGUCAAAAAAAGCUGAGGAGAACAAUGCUCUCCAAAAGUAGUCGGAAGAAUUCCAAAAGUUGAACUUCUUGAGCCGAAGGAGGAGAAGAAUGCAGAGGAGGCUGAAACCAUGGACACAAACCAGCCAGAGGUUGAGGUUAAGGUUAAGGAGGAAGUAAUGAGUGACACUGGAAGCAUCAUGGGCAAUGACAAGAAGGGGAUCUUCAGAAACUCUACACUGUCCGGCAGAUGAGAAAGAGGAAAUUAACAAAAACAAAGCUAAGAGGCUGAAGGUUGUUAACAAUGCCACAAAAUGUUUGGUGUAUGUGAGCAAAAAGCAGAGAAGGUGAAGUGUAUCUUCUCCAUUUCGGGUUUACACAUUCAUACUUGUUACUCAUAAUUUCAUGAUGCUAGGUGUGUCUCAUAGAUAAUCAUAUUCUUAGAAUAAAAU
rnacentral:lncRNA from 1 species